rnacentral:rRNA from 1 species
GACGAACGCUGGCGGCGUGCUUAACACAUGCAAGUCGAACGGAAAGGCCCUGCUUUUGUGGGGUGCUCGAGUGGCGAACGGGUGAGUAACACGUGAGUAACCUGCCCUUGACUUUGGGAUAACUUCAGGAAACUGGGGCUAAUACCGGAUAGGAGCUCCUGCUGCAUGGUGGGGGUUGGAAAGUUUCGGCGGUUGGGGAUGGACUCGCGGCUUAUCGGCUUGUUGGUGGGGUAGUGGCUGACCAAGGCUUUGACGGGUAGCCGGCCUGAGAGGGUGACCGGCCACAUGGGGCCUGAGAUAGGGACCAGACUCCUACGGGCGGCAGCAGUGGGGAGUAUUGCGCAGUGGGCGGAAGCCUGAUGCAGCAAUGCCGCGUGCGGGAUGACGGCCUUCGGGUUGUAAACCGCUUUCGACUGUGACGAAGCGUGAGUGACGGUAAUGGGUAAAGAAGCACCGGCUAACUACGUG